CACAGCCGCGGGAAUACAGAGGGUGCGAGCGUUAAUCGGAUUUACUGGGCGUAAAGCGUGCGUAGGCGGCUAAUUGAGUCGGAUGUGAAAUCCCCAAGCUUAACUUGGGAAUUGCAUUCGAUACUGGUUAGCUAGAGUGUGGGAGAGGAUGGUAGAAUUCCAGGUGUAGCGGUGAAAUGCGUAGAGAUCUGGAGGAAUACCGAUGGCGAAGGCAGCCAUCUGGCCUAACACUGACGCUGAGGUACGAAAGCAUGGGGAGCAAACAGGAUUAGAUACCCCCGUAGUCCCUGUCUCUUAUACA
rnacentral:rRNA from 1 species